rnacentral:ribozyme from 1 species
GAAAACGACACGGAACGGGGCGACUAGUGUGGCUCUCAGGGACAACUUACACUGGGGGGUGGGAAGAUGACAAAUUGAGUGGGUAUGGAACCCUUCAAUGGAAAAGUGGCAUGCAAUACCAAGGCGAGUGGAAAGAAAGUAAACUUCAUGGCCGAGGGACACUAAUUUGGCAGAAUGGAAGGAAAUAU